rnacentral:rRNA from 1 species
UACGAAGGGGGCUAGCGUUGUUCGGAAUUAUUGGGCGUAAAGAGCGUGUAGGCGGCCAGGUAGGUCUGCUGUGAAAACUCGAGGCUCAACCUCGAGACGUCGGCGGAAACCAUCUGGCUAGAGUCCGGAAGAGGAGAGUGGAAUUCCUGGUGUAGCGGUGAAAUGCGCAGAUAUCAGGAAGAACACCCGUGGCGAAGGCGGCUCUCUGGGACGGUACUGACGCUGAGACGCGAAAGCGUGGGGAGCGAACAGG